rnacentral:rRNA from 1 species
CCUUUAUGCUGCCGAGAAAAGCCUCUAGUGAGUGUUGUGGCGGCCCGUACCCUAAACCGACUCAGGUGGUCAGGUAGAGAAUACCAAGGCGAUCGGGUGAACUGUGGUUAAGGAACUCGGCAAAUUGCCCCCGUAACUUCGGGAGAAGGGGGACCUCUGCUGGUGAUGGGCUUUACGUUCUGAGCUGGUGGGGGUCGCAGUGGCCAGGGGGAAGCGACUGUUUACUAAAAACACAGGUCCGUGCGAAGUCGUAAGACGAUGUAUACGGACUGACGCCUGCCCGGUGCCGGAACGUUAAGGGGACCGCUUAGCCAGCUUCGGUUGGCGAAGGUGAGAACUUAAGCGCCGGUAAACGGCGGUGGUAACUAUAACCAUCCUAAGGUAGCGAAAUUCCUUGUCGGGUAAGUUCCGACCUGCACGAAUGGCGUAACGACUUCCCCGCUGUCUCAACCACAGACCCGGCGAAAUUGCACUACGAGUAAAGAUGCUCGUUUCGCGCAGCAGGACGGAAAGACCCCGGGACCUUCACUACAGCUUGACAUUGGCGUUUGGAACGUCUUGUGUAGGAUAGGUGGGAGACUAGGAAGCUGUCACGCUAGUGAUGGUGGAGUCAUUGGUGAAAUACCACUCUGGUCGUUUUGAACGUCUAACUCUGGUCCGUGAUCCGGAUCGGGGACAGUGUCUGGUGGGUAGUUUAACUGGGGCGGUUGCCUCCUAAAGAGUAACGGAGGCGCCCAAAGGUUCCCUCAGCCUGGUUGGCAAUCAGGUGUUGAGUGUAAGUGCACAAGGGAGCUUGACUGUGAGACUGACAGGUCGAGCAGGAGCGAAAGCUGGGACUAGUGAUCCGGCAUCGGCGUGUGGAAGCGGUGUCGCUCAACGGCUAAAAGGUACCCCGGGGAUAACAGGCUGAUCUUCCCCAAGAGUCCAUAUCGACGGGAUGGUUUGGCACCUCGAUGUCGGCUCGUCGCAUCCUGGGGCUGGAGUAGGUCCCAAGGGUUGGGCUGUUCGCCCAUUAAAGCGGUACGCGAGCUGGGUUUAGAACGUCGCGAGACAGUUCGGUCCCUAUCCGCUGCGCGCGCAGGAGACUUGAAGGGGGCUGUCCCUAGUACGAGAGGACCGGGACGGACGAACCUCUGGUGUGCCAGUUGUACCGCCAGGUGCACGGCUGGUUGGCUACGUUCGGAAGGGAUAACCGCUGAAAGCAUCUAAGCGGGAAGCUCGCCUUGAGAUGAGGUCUCCCACCCCGUGAGGGGGUAAGGCUCCCGGUAGAUCACCGGGUUGAUAGGCCGGAGGUGGAAGCACGGUAACGUGUGGAGCUGACCGGUACUAAUAGGCCGAGGACUUG